rnacentral:rRNA from 1 species
AGCGAACGCUGGCGGCAGGCUUAACACAUGCAAGUCGAGCGGGCCCUUCGGGGUCAGCGGCAGACGGGUGAGUAACACGCGGGAACGUACCCUUUGGUUCGGAAUAACGCUGGGAAACUAGCGCUAAUACCGGAUACGCCCUUUUGGGGAAAGGCUUGCUGCCGAAGGAUCGGCCCGCGUCUGAUUAGCUAGUUGGUGGGGUAAUGGCCUACCAAGGCGACGAUCAGUAGCUGGUCUGAGAGGAUGAUCAGCCACACUGGGACUGAGACACGGCCCAGACUCCUACGGGAGGCAGCAGUGGGGAAUAUUGGACAAUGGGCGCAAGCCUGAUCCAGCCAUGCCGCGUGAGUGAUGAAGGCCUUAGGGUUGUAAAGCUCUUUUGUCCGGGACGAUAAUGACGGUACCGGAAGAAUAAGCCCCGGCUAACUUCGUG